rnacentral:rRNA from 1 species
GAAAGAUUCAUCGGUGGCGGAGUAGGCUCGGCGGGACAUUAGCUAGACGGGCGGGCGAACCGGCCCACCGUGGCGGACGAUGUCGUAGGGUUCUGAGAGGAACGGCCCCCCACACUGGGACUGAGACACGGCCCAGACUCCUACGGGAGGCAGCAGUGAGGAAUAUUGGUCAAUGGGCGGAAGCCUGAACCAGCCAUGCCGCGUGAAGGACUAAGGCCCUACGGGUCGUAAACUUCUUUAGACGCAGAGCAAUAAGGUCCACGCGUGGACCGAUGAGAGUAUGCGUAGAAUAAGCAUCGGCUAACUCCGUG